CUCUAAUAUUAUUUUCGAUGUUCAAGUUUAUGGACUUGUUCCAAUAAAGUAUUAGAUAUUAAAGAGGUUUAUUCCUUCCAUAAAAGGUAAAAAUGUAUUAAUUUUAGUAUUAAUCUAGUAGAAAAUCGAAAGAAAUAUUAAAAU
rnacentral:ncRNA from 1 species